CUGUCAGGUACCUGCAACUCGCCGAGAUGUCAGAACCUGGAGCCAGGACCGCAACUGGGAAACCCCGGUGCCCGGAUUUCUGAGCUGUCGGGAGACUGGUGCCCUCCGGGACUCCCUGCCGGACCAAGGAAUCGGACUCACCGCUCCUUAUUAGGGCCGAAGCCGCAGCCUGAGCCCGGAUUGGCUCUUGGGACCCACAAAGCCCCAGGCGACGACCCGGCAAACCUCCACUUCCCCGCCCACAGUGCACCAAUCACCCAUUGAUACGUCCUACAAAGCAACCUAUGAGAACGUGUUCCUCCAGCGAACCCUGACGCCUCCCCUGAACCUCACAAAAUCCUUAUAAACCCCAUGAGGGAAAUAAACGGGUCUUUGCUCCUAGGAGUUCAGACCCUUUGCAAAGCUGA